UACGGAGGAUGCGAGCGUUAUCCGGAUUUAUUGGGUUUAAAGGGUGCGUAGGCGGGAUGCCAAGUCAGCGGUAAAAAUGCGGUGCUCAACGCCGUCGAGCCUUUGAAACUGGCGUUCUUGAGUGGGCGAGAAGUAUGCGGAAUGCGUGGUGUAGCGGUGAAAUGCAUAGAUAUCACGCAGAACUCCGAUUGCGAAGGCAGCAUACCGGCGCCCUACUGACGCUGAGGCACGAAAGCGUGGGUAUCGAACAGG
rnacentral:rRNA from 1 species